rnacentral:rRNA from 1 species
UAAGGAAUAUUGGGCAAUGGGGGAAACCCUGACCCAGCAACGCCGCGUGCAGGAUGAAGGCCCUCGGGUCGUAAACUGCUGUCGGGAGGGAAGAAAAGCAGCGGGAGGAAAUGACCGCUGCCUGACGGUACCUCCAAAGGAAGCGCCGGCUAACUCCGUGCCAGCAGCCGCGGUAAUACGGAGGGCGCAAGCGUUGUUCGGAAUUACUGGGCGUAAAGCGCGUGUAGGCGGUCUGGCAAGUCGGUUGUGAAAUCCCCGGGCUCAACCCGGGAACUGCAUCCGAAACUUCCAGGCUAGAGUUUCGGAGAGGAAGGCAGAAUUCCCAAUGUAGGGGUGAAAUCCGUAGAUAUUGGGAGGAAUACCAGUGGCGAAGGCGGCCUUCUGGACGAUGACUGACGCUGAGACGCGAAAGCGUGGGGAGCAAACAGGAUUAGAUACCCAUGUAGUCCCUGAGCGGGCUGGCAAGGCGCAU